GAUCUAAAAUGGAAAUUCUUCAGGCAGAAAAUGGGCACCUAUAGUUCUCACAGAAAAAGUUGUUUUAGAGCCAAUUUUAAGGUGAGCUGCUGAGAUUUGGCAGAGGAAAAACACUUAGCCUGUCCCCACAGCUAGAAAAGGACCAUUCAUUCCCUUGGACAAUGUUAAUGAUGAGUAACUCGAGUUAGUUUUUUCUUCCUCGAAAUUUGAAUUUAUCUGUGUGAAAACUUAGUGAACGUAUCCUUGUGACGGAAGCAGAAAUGAAGCAAAAUAAGUAUUUCAAUCUUAACUCUUAUAUUUGCAACUGAAACUUAAUUUCGCCCUAUGAUUAAUUUUUUCCUUAUGACACAGGACAGUUUAUAUUGGGAUAACUGGAGAACUCUGGCACACGUAGAGGUAGCUGACUUGUGUCAGAGAAAGUUUGGCCAUAAAUUCAUGCUCUAAGUGGUUUUAGUCCUUACAGGUUUGCAUUUUCUUGAAAUAUUAUAAAUACAUGUUUUUGAAGACAUGACUCCUGAAGAAGGGAUAGUGUGUUAAGGACUGUUUUUUAAGACAGUGUUCCAAUAGCAUCUAUUUUUUCUUUCCUUUCGAUUGAAAAUUGACUUUACAUUGACUGAGGAGUCUUAAGACAAAGCAAAUAAUGGAUUUUGCCUCAUUCUGUGAGGAUCACUGCUCUAUGUAUAUUUACGUUGUAAAGGCACAUAUCUGAAUAAUUAAAUCCAUAUCAAGAAAGCACAGAGUUAGCACUCAGUAAAGGUUUUUGAAAACGAAUUUAACUAACAGUGUUUGGACGUACAAACACAUAGGAAAAACUGAUUUUAUGACUUGUGCUGGGUAUUGACUCUCUUAAUUCCAUCAUGGCUUGAUAUUGGCUGCCAAAAUGAUAUAUGUGCCUAAUAUGUUCUCACUAAACCACAUAAUUUUUGUUUUAAAAACCAGCACAAUCAAGAGAGAGACAAUUAUAUGAAAAGCACUUAUUGACGAAGAGCGUAAUGUACAAUAGAAGAGCUGGCUAAGCGUUUCUGAAAUGAAAGCCCAUUGUUUACUGAAAGAUUCUACUCUCUUUUACUGGUUUUAAUUAUUUCCAAGUUGACAAAUUGUGAUCGAUACUCUGUUAUUGGUCUGAUAAUUAACAGAUGAUGGCCUGUCUCUAUGAAUAGUAAAUGCUGGGUACUAAUUAACAUUUGUUUUGAUUACUUGGUAUUUAGUUGUCAAAGGCAGCUAUUAUAGUGGCAGAGAAUGUUAGAGGAGGGUUUUUUGUUGUUAUAGCCUUUGCUUGUUAUCAGAAAUAACUAUUUGUGUGUGUAUGUGAAAGGAUGCCUGACUUCUGUCACUGCUCACUGUAAUGUAACUACAGUAGUCUGAGAGCUCGUCCCAAAACCUUACGUGUUUCUAAUGAAUUGACGGAUGGCCUCUCAGCUUAAAGGGAGAGAGAAGGGAUCUGUAAUCAAAGUGGAGAUGGUGAGAUUCUUGAACAACGACUAACAGUGCCAAAUGUCGUCGAUGGGUCUAUCACUGAGUUAAGUUUUAGUAUAGUGUGAAGGGAUAGCAUGAAGUCUUCAGAAUUCCAGAGGUUGUGUAAUUUAUCAUUUUGUUAAAGUCUACUUAUGUUUUAUAAUCUUUUUUAAAAGUCUACUUAUUCUUUUCCAUUCAAGGGGGAGUUUCACUGGGGUUUCAAAGUGUGUGGUUAUCUGUAGAGAUGUCUAAGGGGUCACCAUGGUGGAAAUGAUUGGGAAAGGAAAAGACCAGAGAGCUGAUGUUUUCUCUUAGCUUGAAACUUUCUCAUCUGGUUUCAUAUGUUCAGAUUGGGUACUACAACUACGGGGAGAGUGUAUGGGAUUCUAGAUUUAGACUUAGCUUCAAACCUCCCUAGCAGUGCAACAUUGGACAUCAUUUGGGGAUCUAUAAGAAUGUGACUACUAUUACUUCUCUAGUUGGGUAGAUAUGAGGAUUAAGUGAGAUUAUAUAUAUUAAGGUCUAUAUCAGUCUGGGCUUUACAGAGAAACAGAACCGAUAUGAGACACAUAUAAAGAUUUUUGUUCUAAAGUAUUGGCUCACAUUGUUAUAGAGGCUGAGAAGUCACAAGAUCCAUGGUUGGCAAGCUGGAGACCCACUAGAGCUGACGGUAUAUAGAGAGUUCCAGUCUGAGUUCAAAAGCCUAGGAAACAGGAGAACCAAUGGUAUAAAUUCAAGUCCAAGUCCAAAGGGAGAAGACUGGUGUUCCAGCUUAAAGGCAGUCAGACAGCGUGAAUUCUCUCUUAUUAGCCUUUUGGUUCUUUCCAGACCUUCAACAGAUUGGAUUAGGCCCACCCACAUUGGAGAGGGCUGUCUACUUUAUUCAGUCUUCCAAUUCAAACGUUAAUCUCAUCCAAAAAGACCCUCAGACUCACUCAGAGCGAAGUUCAACCAAAUAUCUGGGUGUCCCAUGGCCCAGUUAAGUUGAUACAUAAAAUUAACCAUCACAAGGUCCUAUCAUAAUGCUUGGCACACAAUUAAGAGAAGAGACUCUUGAGGCAGACUACAUCCCUUCAAAUGCUGGCUGGGCCACCUUUUAGUAAUGUGACAUCAGGCAAGUUUAUGUAACAUUUGUGAAUGUGUCAGUUUCCUCAUCAGUAGAAUGACAGUGUUACUAAUCUCAUGCAUAUGGUUGUUGUACAGACUAAAUGAAUUGAUAAAUAUAAGGUAUAUAGUCUGGUACAUAGUCAGUGGUAUGUAUUUCCUAUUAUUAGUAAUCGUAAUUAUAAGAAGUGCUAAAUAAAUCCUAGCCAUUUUACAUUCUUUAAUUCACUCAUUUAACAUAUUCACUGAAAAUUUCGCCACAAAAUUACUCCUUAAUAUAAAAUGUAAUCAUAAAUGAGAGGGAAAAUUUUGUUUUCUAUAUUGACAGAUAAUUUUUACAGCUUGCACUGAACAGCUCCUACAUGCAGUGAAACUCACAAGGGCUAACAUGGUCUCAGGAAAGCAAGGGAUUAACGUGUGUGUGCCUUGAUUAUUGACGCAUCCUUUCUUGAGAGCUUAUUUUGAAGGGUUUGAGCUUUGAUAGUUCCUAAGGCUGUUUUAAAUUUUUUUUAAGUUUGUUUGUUUGUUUGCUUAUUUAUGCUGAGAGAGACAGAGACAGCGUGAGCAGGGGAGGGGCAGAGAGAGAGGGAGGGAGAGAGAAUCCCAAGCAGACUCCGCACCAUCAGCACAGAGCCAGAUGCAGGGCUCGGACUUGCGAAACCAGGAGAUCAUGACCCACCUUAACUGAGAGUCAAGAGUCCGACGCUUAACUGACUGAAUCACCCAGGUGCCCCUGUAAAAAAAAAAAAAAAAAAAAAAUUUUUUCUUUUAUUUGUUCCUAAGGCUGUUUUAGAUAAAGACUACACGUCUCAUAUUUUGACCAAGGGAAGCCUAAAAUAUAUUCAAAAAUUAACCUUUAAACACGUAUCUUAAUAUUUAGUCUAAAAAUUGGAUUUCUCGGGGUGCCUGGAUGGCUCAGUCGGUUGAGCGUCUGACUUCAGCUCAGGUCACGAUCUCGCGGUCCCUGAGUUCGAGCCCCGCGUCAGGCUCUGGGCUGAUGGCUCGGAGCCUGGAGCCUGCUUCCGAUUCUGUGUCUCCCUCUCUCUCUGCCCCUCCCCCAUUCAUGCUCUGUCUCUCUCUGUCUCAAAAAUAAAUAAAUGGUAAAAAAAAAAAUUUAAUUAUUUUAAAAAUUGGAUUUCUCUUGGUGUCAUUUUUCUUCCUUAACUCAACAUGUUCCAUCCGAAAGUACAAAUUUUAGUCUGGUGCCUGUUCUUAAACUCACUGACUUUUUAAUGCUGAUUGGUUAAAUACCAGAUGUGUUUAAAUGUGUAUAUGUAUUUAUUCAUAUUAACUAAAACGAGACAUAUCAGUUCGAUUUGAGUUUUGAACUCAUCUCUAUAAAAAGAGAAGUGUUUUUAAAAACUAAAAAGAAGUCAAUAUCUUAGUAGAGAGAGAGAAGAUUGGCUUGUGGUUAGGUGAACAUUCAAAUAUGUAUGAGUGUUAUAUAGCAUCUAAUGUUAUUAUGCAUGUAUUACAAUAUGUUAUAUAUAAUAAAUACAUAGUUUUUUUUUUUUUUUUUUUUUGAUCAAGGUCUUUUAUACUUAACAGCGUGUCCCUCCCAUCCUUGGGCAGGCUGGACUUUGGUUUUCCUCCUCCACUGUGCUUUUCCAGAAGGGUUUCACCGGCAACACUUAAUUAAACUUCAUUUCCUCUUUUUACGCUCCAGGUAUUAUUAUGCUGCUCUCUUCAAGAAGUAAUUUGUGCGUUGUUUAUUUGAGCUAUGAAUUUAAUCAUUUUCAUCCCACCCCAGGGCAGGGUGACUCCAAUAAGACGUAUGGACAUCUCUUUGCGGCCCAUUUUUGCCCCCAUUGUGUGUUGUUUUGCCAGAAUACUGAAGGCAAUGUUGGUCUUAUGGCCCGUCUCCAUAAAGGCGGCUCUUCUUUUUAGGACAGUGAUGAAUUUA
rnacentral:lncRNA from 1 species